AACGAACGCUGGCGGCAUGCCUAACACAUGCAAGUCGAACGAAACCUCCGGGUCUCGUGUCUCCCGGGUGCGUCCCCGGUUGGAACCUGCCCUUAUGUUCGGAAUAACUCCCCGACCGGGGUGCUAUUACCGGAUAGUAUCUUCGGACCAAUGAUUUAUCGCCUUUGGAUGUGCCCGCGUUGGAUUAGCUCGUUGUUAGGGUAAAAGCCUACCAAGGCGAGGAUGAAUAGCUUGUUUGUGAGGAUGAGUAGCCACACUGAGACUGAGACACGGCACAGACUCCUACGGGAGGCAGCAGGGGGGAAUAUUGGACAAUGGGCGAAGGGCUGAGGCAGCAAUGCCGCGUGAGUUAUGAAGGUCUUAGGGUUGUAAAGCGCAUUUACCUGGGAUGAUAAUGACAGUACCGGGAGAAUAAGCUCCGGCUAACUCCGUG
rnacentral:rRNA from 1 species